UACCAGCGGUCCAAGUCGCAAUCAGAUUUAUUGGGUCUAAAACAUCCGUAGCUCGUUAUGCAAGUCUCUUGUGAAAUCCUGUCUCUUAAGGGCAGAACUGCAAGAGAUACUGCAUGGCUAGAGACCGGGAGACGUGAGGAGUACAGUAAGGGUACCGGUAAAAUGGGUUGAUCCAUACUGGACUAACGAUAGCGAAGGCAACUUGCGAGAACGGAUCUGACAGUGAGGGAUGAAGGCUAGGGUCGCGAAUCGG
rnacentral:rRNA from 1 species